GACGUAGGUGGCGAACGUUAUCCGGAAUUAUUGGGCGUAAAGGGUGCGUAGGUGGCCUGACAAGUUAUCAGUGGCAAAUCGAGGCUCAACCUCGUGGAAACUGGUAAUACUGUUCGGCUUGAGUACAGGAGAGGUUAACGGAACUCUAUGUGGAGCGGUAAAAUGCACAGAUAUAAUGGAAGAACAUCAAUAAAGGCGAAGGCAGUUAACUAUUCUGUUACUGACGCUGAGGCACGAAAGCGUGGGGAGCAAAACGG
rnacentral:rRNA from 1 species